rnacentral:sRNA from 1 species
CAGAAAUUCAUAAACUUUCUUAAACCAUUAUGAGAUUUUUUUGCAAUUUUUUUAGCUCAUCAGUUAUCAUUAGUGUUAGUGUAUAUUAUGUGUGGCCCAAGACAAUUUUUCUUCUUCCAAUGUGGCCCAGGGAAGCCAAAAGAUUGGACCCCCUUGAUUCUAGAUUGUGAAGGAUGCAUCAUCUGACGGCUUUUUUUCCUGGUAUGUGUGUGUAAAGUUUUCCCUCUCGAGUGCCCAGCACUUCCUAUGAUCCACAAUGGACAUCACACAAGCGAGAAUGUCAGCUCCAUUGCUCCAGGAUUGUCUGUGACUUACAGCUGUGAAUCUGGUUACUUGCUUGUUGGAGAAAAGAUCAUUAACUGUUUGUCUUCGGGACAAUGGAGUGCUGUCCCCCCCACAUGUGAAGAGGCACGCUGUAAACCUCUAGGACGAUUUCCCAAUGGGAAGGUAAAGGAACCUCCAAUUCUCCGGGUUGGUGUAACUGCAAACUUUUUCUGUGAUGAAGGGUAUCGACUGCAAGGCCCACCUUCUAGUCGGUGUGUAAUUGCUGGACAGGGAGUUGCUUGGACCAAAAUGCCAGUAUGUGAAGAAAUUUUUUGCCCAUCACCUCCCCCUAUUCUCAAUGGAAGACGUACAGGCAACUCACUAGCAAAUGUCUCAUAUGGAAGCAUAGUCACUUACACUUGUGACCCGGACCCAGAGGAAGGAGUGAACUUCAUCCUUAUUGGAGAGAGCACUCUCCAUUGUACAGUUGAUAGUCAGAAGACUGGGACCUGGAGUGGCCCUGCCCCACGCUGUGAGCUUUCUACUUCUGCGGUUCAGUGUCCA